CUCCAUGACCUUUCUCUCAUGCACAGUCACAUUCUGGCACAUGCACACUUACAAAUAAACACGUUUUUAUAAAGGCAGUUCUCUCUCUCUCUCAUGCUUCUUCUUUUCCCCCUCCUCUCUGCCUGGCACUCUGCCAAACGCGUAGAUAGUCUGACUUCUCUGUAAAUGGAAAAUGACCAUGCCUCUGUGUUUCAGGCCAGUACUCAUAUUCAUACUGGUCAGCCAAAGUCAACCUUGACUGCCACCUCUCGCUCUCCCACACUAAAUGACACGCUCUCUGAAGCCAGGGGGUCUGGUCAGCGGCCCAACAGAUGGUAGUUAACAGGCUGGUGUUGUUUCCAGAGGUCAGUGCGUCAGACAUGACCUCCUUGGUCAUAGGAUGAAAGCAAAGAGAUUCUGUCUGUAUUUUUGGAAUCUGCAUACAAUCACGACUUAUGUGGGACAAAUUUUUUCCCCAUUUGAAUGUCAAACAGCAGUGUGGGGAAAUGAUAAAAGCAGGUUAACAUUUCAUUUUGUCCUUUUUGUUAAAUGAAGAUCAAAUUAUUGUCAAUGCAUAAUAAAAAAAAAAUAAGAUAAUGCUUAGAAAAAAAUGUGGUUUGCUAGUUUUUUGCUAUUUUUCAAAUGUCCUACUAAAAUAUCCUGAAUCAUAAGUCACAUGUAAAUCAAGGUAAAUGUUACUUGUAAAUAGAAUAUUUGUAUUGUGCAAUGUGUUUUACAUUUCUCCAAUCUAGAUGUAUUUGUCAAACCAAAAAAUAAAAGUUAGACGAUCAUUAUGUAUUUAGGAUACAUCAGAUCCUAGCUAUGAAUAUAGUAAUUAGACAUUAAUUAUUGGACAAUGUUAGGAGACAAAUUUAAAACUAGCAUAACUGUACAAAUCUACAAGAAACAUCUUCUGAUGGGAUACAAAAGUAGCAGUGUAGUGAAAGAUUAAAGCCAUCGCUUCUCUGUUUUCUGUUAUAAUUUUCAUAGAUAAAAACUUUGAUGUCCCACCCACUCCAUGGGUUGUUGGAUUUCUCCAUCCUUGAUGACUUUAAUGAUCAGCGUUGUUUUCCCUCUCUGUGCCCUUGUUUAAUUUCCACUUCCUGCUUUAUUCUUGGCUUAAACCAAACGAAAGACAGCUGUGCGGCGGAGCGAGGGGGCAGGUUAUAUGAGAGUCCUGUUUUAACUGGUUGUGGGAACCAGAGUGUGCGGUGGUGUGUAGCACUAUCAAUGUAAAGAGGCAUGGCAGAGACAGCCUUGUUUCCGGCCUUCUGUAUUUCUGGCCAGGUAAAAACUCUCCGGCCCAGGCUGCAGGCUCUAGACCACAUCAAGUAUUGUUUGGCAAUUUAAAUAAUUACAAACUGCAAACUAUAUUAAAGCACAGCUCUAUAUAAACUACUAUAUAUAUACAUUUUUACCUGCAUACUUACAGUACUACAUACUCAUGUAAAGCAAUAUAUACUAUAAAGCAAAUCUCAACUGCUUGAUUGCUUGUAUCAUUGCAAAAUAUAAAUGAUUAUAUAACCCAGCUCUAAUCUGCUACAUGUGACUACAAGACAUAAAUAUGUUAAGGUAUUGUAAACAUUAACAUCAUGAUUUUCUGUGAAGCUGCUUUGAAACUGUGUAAAGAGCGCUUUAAAAAAUAAAUUGUAAUUAUACCCUGUAGCCAAAGUGUUACUAAAUUUGACCAUGAGCAGAAUUUGUACCACUACAUGUAUAACAUGAGAGAAAGUUUGUUUUUUAUGCCUUUAAGGGUGAUGCAGAAGUGUUGCUAUUUGUUUACCGCACUUUUGACAUCGAAGGAAGUGACUAAACUUUUAUAAGGCAACAGGACCUGAAAAAAUAAAAGGAGCUUGAGUAAAUAUAGAUUUAGCACACAUGCACUGGGAAGAAGUGAAUUUCUAAAGACUUGGGGGCGAGGAAAAGAAAACAGCUGACUCAUUGAGGGUUCAGUGAACUUCAUAUUUAAAUAUGGAUCCUUUGUCUCUUUUUCAUCUUCCUUUUCUUUCUUUUA